UACGAAGGGGGCUAGCGUUGUUCGGAAUCACUGGGCGUAAAGGGCGCGUAGGCGGCCGAUCAAGUCGGGGGUGAAAGCCUGUGGCUCAACCACAGAAUUGCCUUCGAUACUGUUUGGCUUGAGACCGGAAGAGGUUAGUGGAACUGCGAGUGUAGAGGUGAAAUUCGUAGAUAUUCGCAAGAACACCAGUGGCGAAGGCGGCUGACUGGUCCGGUUCUGACGCUGAGGCGCGAGAGCGUGGGGAGCAAACAGG
rnacentral:rRNA from 1 species